AGCAAAUUCAUGCUGCUGCAUUCAGCUGGUAGAUGCUAGGAAUGGGCUCACCUGGAAUUUGAAAAAUUCCUUUCCUUCUUAAGUUUUGACUUAAGUUUUUUGCUUUUGAUUCCUUCUGUAAUAAUCUUAUGUUUCUAAAGCUUUAUAUGAGAGUAUCUAAUCAUAGUCUAUGUUAACUAUUUGUCUUUAAUAUCUUUUAGGAAUAUCAUAAUGCAUGAAGGCAGCUGGGGCAUAUCUCAUACACGUGUGCCAACAGAAUCUCGGCCAGGUCAUGUAGCUCUGAUAGCUGGGUUUUAUGAAGAUGUCAGUGCAGUUGCCAAAGGAUGGAAGGAAAAUCCUGUAGAGUUUGAUUCUCUUUUUAAUGAAAGUAAAUACACAUGGAGCUGGGGAAGCCCAGAUAUCCUGCCUAUGUUUGCCAAAGGUGCUAGUGGAGACCACGUUUAUACAUAUAGUUAUGAUGCUAAAAGAGAGGAUUUUGGUGCUCAAGAUGCAACAAAACUGGAUACGUGGGUUUUUGAUAAUGUUAAGGACUUCUUUCAUCAUGCCAGAAACAACCAGUCUUUGUUUUCUAAAAUAAAUGAAGAGAAAAUAGUUUUUUUCUUACAUUUAUUAGGAAUAGAUACAAACGGACAUGCUCAUCGACCAUCCUCGAGAGACUACAAGGACAAUAUUAAAAAAGUUGAUGAUGGAGUUAAAGAAAUCGUGUCUAUGUUUAACCAUUUCUAUGGAAAUGAUGGGAAAACAACAUUUAUCUUUACCUCUGACCAUGGAAUGACAGACUGGGGUUCCCAUGGGGCUGGUCAUCCUUCAGAAACUUUAACUCCUUUAGUCACUUGGGGAGCUGGAAUCAAGUAUCCCCAAAGAGUAUCAGCUCAGCAAUUUGAUGAUGCAUUUUUGAAAGAGUGGAGAUUGGAGAACUGGAAGAGGCUAGAUGUCAAUCAGGCUGAUAUUGCACCAUUGAUGACUUCCCUUAUUGGAGUUCCCUUUCCUCUUAACUCAGUGGGAAUCCUUCCUGUGGAUUAUCUUAACAACACUGAUCUCUUCAAAGCAGAGAGCAUGUUUACAAAUGCAGUACAGAUUCUUGAACAGUUCAAGGUGAAAAUGACUCAGAAAAAAGAAGUUACUUUACCAUUUUUGUUUACACCAUUUAAACUGCUUUCUGAUUCCAAACAGUUCAACAUUUUAAGAAAAGCAAGAUCUUAUAUAAAACACAGAAAGUUUGACGAAGUGGUCUCCCUUUGCAAGGAGCUAAUUCAUCUUGCAUUGAAAGGAUUGUCCUAUUAUCACACAUAUGACAGAUUCUUUUUGGGCGUCAAUGUUGUUAUUGGUUUUGUGGGAUGGAUAUCUUAUGCCUCUUUGUUGAUCAUCAAGUCUCAUUCCAACCUUAUAAAAGGUGUUAGUAAAGAAGUGAAGAAACCAAGCCAUCUCCUGCCUUGUAGUUUUGUAGCUAUUGGCAUUUUAGUAGCAUUUUUUCUGCUGAUUCAAGCCUGUCCCUGGAAAUAUUAUGUAUAUGGUUUGUUGCCAGUGCCAAUAUGGUAUGCGGUUCUAAGAGAAUUUCAAGUUAUUCAGGACCUUGUUGCAUCAGUGUUGACCUAUCCUCUGAGCCAUUUUGUUGGGUACCUGUUAGCCUUUACCCUGGGAAUUGAAGUAUUAGUUCUCAGUUUUUUCUACCGCUAUAUGCUUACUGCUGGACUUACUGCCUUUGCAGCUUGGCCAUUUCUCACUCGGCUGUGGACUCGAGCAAAGAUGACCUCACUGAGUUGGACUUUCUUCUCUUUGCUCCUGGCAGUGUUCCCACUGAUGCCGGUUGUAGGUCGAAAGCCAGACAUCUCUCUAGUGAUGGGUGCAGGCUUGCUGGUUCUUCUGCUAUCCCUGUGUGUUGUAACAUCUCUCAUGAAAAGAAAAGAUAGCUUUAUAAAGGAAGAGCUAUUGGUACAUCUAUUACAGGUGCUGAGCACAGUGCUCUCCAUGUAUGUUGUGUAUAGCACCCAGAGUAGUCUACUCAGGAAGCAAGGACUGCCUCUCAUGAAUCAAAUUAUUAGCUGGGCAACAUUAGCCUCUUCCUUGGUUGUGCCACUACUGAGUUCUCCAGUUCUCUUUCAGCGAUUGUUCAGCAUACUUCUUUCAUUGAUGUCAACCUACCUACUUCUAAGCACAGGGUAUGAAGCUCUCUUUCCACUAGUGUUGUCUUUUUUGAUGUUUGUCUGGAUAAACAUAGAACAAGAAACUCUACAACAAUCUGGUGUUUGCUGUAAACAAAAGCUCACCAGUAUCCAGUUCUCUUAUAAUACUGAUAUAACUCAGUUUCGACAGCUAUAUCUAGAUGACAUCCGUAGGGCCUUUUUCCUUGUUUUCUUCUUAGUGACAGCAUUUUUUGGAACUGGAAAUAUAGCUUCUAUUAACAGCUUUGAUCUUGCCUCUGUCUAUUGCUUUCUGACUGUGUUCAGUCCUUUUAUGAUGGGAGCCCUGAUGAUGUGGAAGAUUUUAAUCCCCUUUGUUCUUGUUAUGUGUGCUUUUGAAGCAGUUCAGUUGACUACUCAGUUAUCGUCAAAAAGCCUUUUUCUCAUUGUUCUCGUCAUAUCAGACAUUAUGGCUUUGCAUUUUUUCUUCUUGGUCAAGGAUUAUGGCAGCUGGCUUGAUAUUGGGACAAGGCAACUCCUGGCAUGUACUGCCUGGUUAUUUAUGUACAUAUCUGCCUCUCCCAAUAGACUGUGGAUGCUCACAGAUCCAGGACUGGAUUUGAAUCUCUUACAUGCCAUACGUGCUUGCAUCAGCCACUAUGUGAUUGUCAUGUCCAUGACCAUCUUUUUGGUGUUCCUCAAUGGCCUGGCCCAGCUGCUCACAACGAAGAAACUCAGACUAUGUGGCAAACCCAAAAGUCACUUCAUGUGAGGUUGCUGAAGCACCAUUCAGCAUCUGGAUCCUGAUUCUCCUUUUAAACUAAAAUCUCAUCAAGGCUUCAAUAAGAAGAUGGAUAUGGAUAUAUAGUAUAUUCUACUCCUGUAAGGAAAAUGGUAUUUGGAAUUCCGAAUUGACAGGUUAUCUGGAACAAAGGAGCUUCUUUUCUUUUUUUUUCUGGGUUUUGCAGGCAUGAAAUAUUGAUUAUAUCUGUGGAAAAGCAUAGGAAGGCAUUCUCCUUUUUCAUUUUUUUCCUUUGGCUGGCAGCUCUUCCCAGUGAUGUUGAGAGCACCUGCAGCAAUCUGGUCCCCAAUCGCACAACUUCCCACAUACCCAGAGGAGAGCAUAUGCCUGUGGGGGCAGUGCUGAUGGCAUCCAGAGUCAUUGCUGUGGCUGAGCUGGAAGGAAAUCACCAGGUGCCACCAUCAAUAUUUAUCAGCUUUCAGCACUGGUUUUGUUAGACAGUCAGGGUGUAUUAUUUCAAGAGCUUCAAUAAAAAAAGUGUUUGCAGGUAUUUGUCAUAUUUCUUUAGUAUGCAAUAAUGCUAUCUUAUCCUUUUUAGUGCUAUUUCUCAGGUUUUCUCAGUCAACCAGCUAGAUGCAUGUGAUGCAUGUCUAUCCUUCACUUUUUUUUUUCAUUUCUGGAUUUUCCUGGGAUUUCUGACAACACAAAAGUAGAAAGUGCUUGGUAUUUUGUCUUAUACAUAGGAAAACAUUUAAAAUAAAUAGUUUUUAAUUGUAGGCUCAACAUCUGUUACCCUGUAGCUUUUUCAUAUAUUGUUUCUUUCCCUUUGAAUUUUUUUACUGUCAUCUAUUAUUUUAACAGGAGUUUAAAAAUCAAUGGUUAAACUUUCUGACAAUAUCAUAAGAAUUCAUAUUAAAGGUGUUAUUCUUUCUGGUUGUGAGAUUCUAGCACAAAGGCCUAAAAUCAUCAAAUCAGAUUUCCAUUUGUAAACAAAUUCUAAUGGGCAAAAUAUCUUGAGAGCAGUUUUUAUAUGGAUUAUCCAUAAAAUGACCUUUACAUAUCCCUGCAGAGUUGGCCUUUUGCCCGUGGUGUGCUAGUAGCUUUGGCUGAUGCUAAGCUUUCCUGGUAUGCGCCCUAUUUUUAAGAAGUAAUUGCUUUUGAAUUAAGUUAUAGCAUUACUAAUUCAUGUUAAUGACUAGGAAACCCUCUGUAAUUUACAAGAUUUUUCAAAUUGGUGGGGAGUGAAUAAAU
rnacentral:sRNA from 1 species